rnacentral:rRNA from 1 species
UACGUAGGGUGCAAGCGUUGUUCGGAAUCAUUGGGCGUAAAGCGCGUGUAGGCGGUUAGGUAAGUCGGGUGUGAAAUCCCUGGGCUCAACCGAGGAAGUGCAUCCGAAACUGCUUAGCUAGAGGACGGUAGAGGAAGGUGGAAUUCCUAGUGUAGAGGUGAAAUUCGUAGAUAUUAUGAGGAAUACCGGUGGCGAAGGCGGCCUUCUGGGCCGAUCCUGACGCUGAGACGCGAAAGCGUGGGUAGCAAACAGGAUUAGAUACCCUGGUAGUCCACGCUGUAAACGAUGAGUACUAGGUGUUGCAGGAAUUGACCCCUGCAGUGCCGCAGCUAACGCAUUAAGUACUCCGCCUGGGAAGUACGGCCGCAAGGUUAAA